rnacentral:rRNA from 1 species
CCUACGGGAGGCAGCAGUGAGGAAUAUUGCGCAAUGGGGGAAACCCUGACGCAGCGACGCCGCGUGAGUGAUGAAGGCCUUCGGGUUGUAAAGCUCUGUCAGCAGGGAAGAAAUGGCAUAUGGCUAAUAUCCAUGUGUUUUGACGGUACCUGCAGAGGAAGCACCGGCUAAUCCGUG